AACUCCUUAAAUUGAUUACUAUUUCUUGCUUUGACCUAGAUAUAGGCGCUCAAGCAAUGUAGAAAGAAAAGAAAGAGUGGUGUAUAAUUAUGUACAUUCAACCAUCAGGAUUUCUUGGUUCAGCACACGCAAUGAGAAAUCGAAGCAAAUGGAGCAACGAAAGAAGAGAGGGAAGGGGAACAGACGACGUUGUCCCUUUGACUUGACCUUGAUCAUGGUUGCUCUACAUGGCUUCUAUCUCCUUCUUACCAUUGGAUAGAUGAAGAGCUUAGUUCAAGAACCUCACGAAAGGACAAUCAACCCAAAAAUAGGAAGACUUUUUUAGGGGUUGUACUAUGGUUAUGAUACCUAUUUACAUACAUAAAGUACCUAUCUAUGAGUGUAAGUGCAUAAAAUUGGACUUCAUAAAGUGAAGAAAAAAACCAACCAACCCAUUUAUUUUUUGUAGAUUACACUAACAUAAAAAUAUACGAUGUCUUUUGUUGUCAGCUGUCGUUUUUCUGCCUCCCUUUAUCAGGUUUUGGUAUGUUGAUAUGUUGAGUUCGAACUAACUCCUAUAAGUAGUAAAUAAUUCCAUACAAUGAUAAUACAAGAUACACGAAUGGGCAAACAUUGGUGGAGUAGCAUGAGUUUCAGAGGAGAGACCAUCUGUAAAUUUUAGCGCCCCUCUGUUAUUGAUUAAAAAAAAAAAAAUGAUUGUAUAAAGAUGAGUAUUUUUUGUAGGUUGCUUCA
rnacentral:lncRNA from 1 species